GACGAACGCUGGCGGCGUGCCUAAUACAUGCAAGUUGAGCGCUGAAGGUUGGUACUUGUACCGACUGGAUGAGCAGCGAACGGGUGAGUAACGCGUGGGGAAUCUGCCUUUGAGCGGGGGACAACAUUUGGAAACGAAUGCUAAUACCGCAUAAAAACUUUAAACACAAGUUUUAAGUUUGAAAGAUGCAAUUGCAUCACUCAAAGAUGAUCCCGCGUUGUAUUAGCUAGUUGGUGAGGUAAAGGCUCACCAAGGCGAUGAUACAUAGCCGACCUGAGAGGGUGAUCGGCCACAUUGGGACUGGGACACGGCCCAAACUCCUACGGGAGGCAGCAGUAGGGAAUCUUCGGCAAUGGACGAAAGUCUGACCGAGCAACGCCGCGUGAGUGAAGAAGGUUUUCGGAUCGUAAAACUCUGUUGGUAGAGAAGAACGUUGGUGAGAGUGGAAAGCUCAUCAAGUGACGGUAACUACCCAGAAAGGGACGGCUAACUACGUG
rnacentral:rRNA from 1 species